CUACGGGAGGCAGCAGUGAGGAAUAUUGCACAAUGGAGGAAACUCUGAUGCAGCAACGCCGCGUGGAGGAUGACGCAUUUCGGUGUGUAAACUCCUUUUAUGAGUCAAGAAAAUGACGGUAGCUCAUGAAUAAGCACCGGCUAACUCCGUGCCAGCAGCCGCGGUAAUACGGAGGGUGCAAGCGUUACUCGGAAUCACUGGGCGUAAAGGACGCGUAGGCGGGAUAUCAAGUCAGGUGUGAAAUCCUACAGCUUAACUGUAGAACUGCACUUGAAACUGGUAACCUAGAGUAUGGGAGGGGGAGAUGGAAUUAGUGGUGUAGGGGUAAAAUCCGUAGAUAUCACUAGGAAUACCUAAAGCGAAGGCGAUCUCCUGGAACAUAACUGACGCUGAGGCGUGAAAGCGUGGGGAGCAAACAGGAUUAGAUACCCCGGUAGUC
rnacentral:rRNA from 1 species